CGUGCAGGCGGCCGGUCCAAGUCUGAUGUGAAAGCCCGGGGCUUAACCUCGGAAGGGCGUUGGAAACUGGUUGGCUUGAGUUCGGGAGAGGAAAGCGGAAUUUCGGGUGUAGAGGUGAAAUUCGUAGAUAUCCGGAGGAACACCGGUGGCGAAGGCGGCUUUCUGGACCGAAACUGACGCUGAGACGCGAAAGCGUGGGGAGCAAAACAGGAUUAGAUACCCUGGGUAGUCCACGCUGUAAACGAUGGGCACUAGGUGUGGGGGGUUUUUAAUCCCUCCGUGCCGCAGCUAACGCAUUAAGUGCCCCGCCUGGGGAGUACGGCCGCAAGGUUAAA
rnacentral:rRNA from 1 species